rnacentral:rRNA from 1 species
UACGGAGGGUGCGAGCGUUGUCCGGAAUCACUGGGCGUAAAGGGCGCGUAGGCUGCGCGGAUAGUCGGCGGUGAAAGCCCGGAGCUCAACUCCGGGUCGGCCGUCGAUACUUCCGGGCUUGAGCACUGUAGAGGCAGAUGGAAUUCCGGGUGUAGCGGUGGAAUGCGUAGAGAUCCGGAAGAACACCGGUGGCGAAGGCGGUCUGCUGGGCAGUUGCUGACGCUGAUGCGCGACAGCGUGGGGAGCAAACAGG